rnacentral:rRNA from 1 species
GACGAACGCUGGCGGCGUGCUUAACACAUGCAAGUCGAACGGAAAGGUCCUGGUUUUGUGGGGUGCUCGAGUGGCGAACGGGUGAGUAACACGUGAGUAACCUGCCCUUGACUUUGGGAUAACUUCAGGCAACUGGGGCCAAUACCGGAUAGGAGCUCCUGCUGCUAGGUGGGGGCUGGACAGUUUCGGCGGUUGGGGAUGGACUCGCGGCGUAUCAGCUUGUUGGUGGGGUAGUGGCAUACCAAGGCUUUGACGGGUAGCCGGGCUGAGAGGAUGACCGGACACAUUGGGACUGAGAUGAGGCACAGACUCAUACGGGAGGCAACGGAGGGGUAGAUUGCACAAUGGGAGGGGGGCUGAUGCAGCAACGCCGCGUGCGGGAUAUGGUCCUGGGGGUAGUAAACCAAUUUCGUCUGUGACGAGGCGUUAGUGACGGUAAUGGGUAAAGAAGCACCGGCUAACUACGUG